UCCUUUGUGUACCAACUGUACACAACCAGUCAGGGGAAACGACUCUAUUACUCUAAUGGAAGCGCCAUCUUGAUGCUAAGAAAUGUCUUUUUUCUGUUUACGAAAAGGUUGAUUUAGCGGAUCGUACAUAUCAGAAUGACAAAUUUUGAGUGUUGCAGAUGCUGUUCAGUUUGCAGAGGUAUUUGAAAUGGAAAGAGAGAGAAAUAUGAACAUACAUUGACUGCUUUGAAUAUAAGGUGUAAAAAAGAGUUACACGUGCCAAAAAAUAUGUUGAAAAUUUGAAAACUGUUAACAAGAGCAUCAACGAAUAGAAAAAAGAACAAUACCAGGUCUGGAUAUUAGUGGCAGCAUGCAAUUAUUACCAGGAAAAAAAUGUAGCUGUACAGAAGACACCCCAGAUCAUAAAAUUGCAUGUAAAAAAGGAAAGCAUUCCUUUUCAUAGAAUCAAAGAACUCUUUUAACCAAGUCAAGAUGUUAUUAGACAUGUUAUCAUAUAUAUAGUACAUUUGUAUUUACAAAUAUAAGAAGUAUGUGUGACUAUGUCAUGUUACAUGUAUGCUGAGAAUAUUUUAAUGUCACAAGGAUAUGAAAUGGAUAAAUGAAAUAUUGUCAACCAUUUAAAUAAAACAGACAGGCUCACAUAAAAAUCAACUGCCUAUGUGAAAGUUUAAGUUGAA